AGUAUCUGACCAAACGGGAACUUGUGCUACUUACUCGCCAGACUGCGGUAGCAUUGUUGCGUCUGAUAUAACGUACGCUUUUCUACUAGCUCCUAAGUUGCAACUCUGCGGCAACAGAGCGGCGGUCCUUCGAAUUUCUUGGGUUCUUAUGGGAAUAUGGGAAAUCACUCCGCCUUCUUUCGGCUCUGGCAGAACGAAGAACGAUAGAAACGUGGAAAAACCGGUCGGCAGGCGUGCAUAAAACAUAAAUAAAAUUUAAUCAAAGUCCCCAGGUGGUAACGCCGAAUCCUC
rnacentral:misc_RNA from 1 species